CAUGUGUCAGACUGGUUAUGCCUUUACUGGUGGCUAUAGAAAAUCAGAGGGCAAGUGCUGCUCCUCACAUUCACUCUUUCCACCUUUUUGCAGGCUCCGUGAGAGAGCACCUAGAUGUGUUUGAAGCAUCUGGGAAUGAAGCAGACAUGGCUUUGCCACCUCCAUCAGGACCUCGGAAGGGGAAAAUAGUAAGAGAAGCUACCAAAGCCCCAGCAGAAUUGGGACAGGGGAGAUGGGAGCUCCCAAUAGGGUUGGACAUUUGGGAAUUGUGUGCCAGACAAGUACAGAAUAAAUGCUACAUGUGAAGCAAAGACACCGUAAGGUGUUGUCCUGGAGAAGGCCAUGCAUAAGUGCAUUCUGAAGCCGUUGAAGAGCCAUAUUGAAGCGAUGUUGAAAGAGUUUCAUACUGCAGAUGGUUUUUGGAAACAACUGAAGGAAAACCUUCAGGUGGUGCGGCAGAGGAAUCCUCAGGAACUGGGCGUGUUUGUUCCAACACCAGACUACGUGGAUGUUGAAAGUCUGUGACCACGCAGAAAAUGUAUUCGCCUGAAAAGAAAGUCAUGCUGCUGCUGAGAGUUUGCAAAUUGAUUUAUACUGUUAUGGAGAAUAACUCAGGGAGGCUGUAUGGAGCUGAUGACUUCUUGCCUGUGUUGACAUACGUGCUAGUCCAGGGUGAUACGCUGGAGCUGGAUACUGAAACUGAAUACAUGGUGGAAUUGCUGGAUCCAUCUUUGCUGCAUGGAGAAGGAGUAAAGGAGCGACACUGGUCCUUUAAAUAACCGGCCACCCCCAGCGCUAGCGGACCCAGGGAUGGAUACUGUUGCACCACUUUGAUAAUAUGGAGCCCAGGCAACCACUGCAUGCCUCUUAGCAGCUGAGAACACACUGUCCAGUAUUUUGCA